rnacentral:lncRNA from 1 species
UCCAGGCAAACAGCAAUAUUUUUUAGAUCAGUGAGGUCCAUCCAUGAACCACAGUAUAGGGAGACAACCAGUGGGGCCACUUGGGGGAGAGAAAAGUGGCAAUUAUUAAAGCUAGGUUCCAGGUGUCUUACGCGGCCAAAAUCAUUAUUCUGUAGUACAAUUUUAUAGUGGAGUGCUGCCGUUUACUGGCUGCCAAUAUGUAAAUUAGGUUUGCAGCCAGUAAACAAUGUAGACACUUUUUUACGCUGAGUGGCCCUACUGUACUUUUCCUAUACUGUGCAUGAACCAUUGUUACGCGCCCGCGAUUAUUGAUGAACUUUAGACGUCGCUUUCCUUUCCCCGGCUGUAUAAACAGCCGGGCGGAAUUAGUUCCCUCGCCCCCGGCUAACGCCUAGAACGGUGCUCCGUGCCGUGGGCCAAUGCUACUAACUUAAUUCCCGACGGAGGACUUCGCUAGAAAUGUCGAAGUUUUACUUAUAUGUUUGGUGUAUUGUUAAAUCCCUAUGAAUUUUCUGGUUUAUUACUGGCGGUCUUGUUUUCAUAAGUCAUUAAGUCUGUGUUGUUCGCGUAUCGCUCGCGCUUGGACUGUUGCAUUUUGAAUGUUUUAGUUAGGUACUGCGCCCUCUGGAAAUAUCAUCACUUUUGGAUAAUAUUUAACCGUGUCCCUACGUUCUGUGUCUAUAAAUAUUGAAUAUUAUAAAUUAUAGUUAUUCAGCCAAAGGUUCUAAAUUGUAAUGCAAUCUUGUAAAUCACUUGCUUAAGCUAUCUGAUAUUAUUAUUCAAUGACUUGCAUUAUUUUAGGCAAAGGUUGUACAAUGUAAUGCAACAGCCUUCUGCCCAGAUGGCAACACAUGCUGCAGAUUGGAGGGUGGCCAAUGGGGAUGUUGUCCUCUACCAAAUGCUGUUUGUUGUUCAGAUGGUGUUCAUUGUUGCCCGCAUGGCAGCACCUGUACAUCAACAUCAUGUCAGAAAGGAUCUCAUGUGACUCAGUUAUUCAAGAAGAAACCCGCGAUUCAGGUGGGUAAUUGGCUGGGUAUUGGAGUUGUAUGCCCUUUAUAUGUAUAAUGUCUUUGUUUAUAUUUCCACAGUGCGUCGCGGCGUCGACCAAGACAUAAACAUCGAUCUUCAAACAAGAAGUCGAAAUAUACGGUGAUUCAGCGAAAUGUUUCACAUCAUAUUACUUAUAUGUUUUUUGUAUUAUUCCGUAGCUUAAUUCCUUCUUGUUUUUUCGUAAUAUAUCUUGUAAUAGACCUUAUUCAUCAAUCGCAAUCGGCGCCUCGUAUUCUAGGAAACGGGAAUAAACGCGGAAAAACAAGCGAAAGCUGCUUGUCAAGCCAAAUUCAGAUGCCAUUGCUUAUUUCGAUUUAUAAUAAUUUUGUGUGUACUUUAAGAUGUUGUGCCCAAAGCGAAAGCUAUAAACGAGUAGGCCUAUUAUAUUAAAAAAACGAUCAGUUUUGUUUCCCCUUUUUUGUGUGGAAACGUAACGAUGAUGUUAAUCCAGAAGCGAAAAACAGCAUUUUACUGAG